rnacentral:rRNA from 1 species
GAGUUUGAUCGUGGCUCAGAUUGAACGCUGGCGGCAUGCCCUUACACAUGCAAGUCGAACGGCAGCACGGGAGCUUGCUCCUGGUGGCGAGUGGCGAACGGGUGAGUAAUGCAUCGGAACGUAUCCUGGAGUGGGGGAUAACGUAGCGAAAGUUACGCUAAUACCGCAUAUUCUGUGAGCAGGAAAGCGGGGGACCUUCGGGCCUCGCGCUCUUGGAGCGGCCGAUGUCGGAUUAGCUAGUUGGUGAGGUAAAGGCUCACCAAGGCGACGAUCCGUAGCAGGUCUGAGAGGAUGAUCUGCCACACUGGAACUGAGACACGGUCCAGACUCCUACGGGAGGCAGCAGUGGGAAUUUUGGACAAUGGGGGCAACCCUGAUCCAGCCAUGCCGCGUGAGUGAAGAAGGCCU